rnacentral:rRNA from 1 species
CCCUUAGAUGUUCUGGGCUGCACGCGCGCUACACUGAUGCGAUCAACAAGUUUUUCCUAUGUCGAUAGACACGGGUAAUCUUUUGAACUCGCAUCGUGAUGGGGAUAGAUUAUUGUAAUUAUUAAUCUUCAACGAGGAAUUCCUAGUAGGUGCAAAUCAUCAGUUUGCAUCGAUUACGUCCCUGCCCUUUGUACACACCGCCCGUCGCUGCUACCGAUUGGUUGAUCUGGUGAAUUAUUCGGACUGCCGGCUGAAGGGGUUUCCUCAUCUGCCAGCGGAAAGUCUUGUUAACCCUAUCAACUAGAGGAAGCAGAAGCCGUAACA